UACGUAGGGUGCAGGCGUUAAUCGGAAUUACUGGGCGUAAAGCGUGCGCAGGCGGUCUUUUAAGUCAGAUGUGAAAUCCCCAGGCUUAACCUGGGAACUGCAUCUGAUACUGGAUGGCUUGAAUCCGGGAGAGGGAUGCAGAAUUCCAGGUGUAGCGGUGAAAUGCGUAGAUAUCUGGAGGAAUACCGGUGGCGAAGGCGGCAUCCUGGACCGGCAUUGACGCUGAGGAGCGAAAGCUAGGGGAGCAAACGGGG
rnacentral:rRNA from 1 species